rnacentral:rRNA from 1 species
GACGAACGCUGGCGGCGUGCUUAACACAUGCAAGUCGAACGAUGAAGAAGAGAAACGCGAACUUCGGUUCAAAUUUCAAUUCGGAUUAGUGGCAGACGGGUGAGUAACGCGUGAGCAACCUACCUCUUACAAAGGGAUAGCCUCGGGAAACCGUGAUUAAUACCAUAUGACACAUUCAUAAGGCAUCUUAAGACUGUUAAAGCUACGGCGGUAAGAGAUGGGCUCGCGUCCCAUUAGCUAGUUGGUGAGGUAACGGCCCACCAAGGCGACGAUGGGUAACCGGCCUGAGAGGGUGAACGGUCACAUUGGAACUGAGACACGGUCCAAACUCCUACGGGAGGCAGCAGUGGGGAAUAUUGCACAAUGGAGGGAACUCUGAUGCAGCGACGCCGCGUGAGCGAUGAAGGAAUUCGUGUCGUAAAGCUCUGUUCUAUGGGAAGAAAAGGACUGUACCAUAGGAGAAAGCCCCGGCUAAAUACGUG